AUGGUGAUAAAAACCAAUUAUGGAAGAUCCGAUUGAAGAUUUUCGGGUCAAAAUCAAAUAAAAAAUCCGACCCAAUUGAAUUCCUUAAAAUGUACUUCAAAAAUGUUAAGUAGAUUUUAUCCAAUUUUGAACGUGGGGUGAAAAGUGAAAUUGAUGUUACGGUAUAUAGUAGAAUUAGUAGUGGUUGGUUUGACGGCUUAUUAAAUCAUGUAUGAUCACUGUAUAUUCAUAAAUAAAAUCUAGUAUUUACAGGUUUAAAAAUCUUCUUAUUAUUAAAAGGGAAGUACAAAUUGAAUUUUUGUCUAAUUUGACCUCAAUUUUGAUUUCAAUUUUGGAUUUUGUUCUUUGCUCUUCAAAAUCAUUAAGGGUAAUUUGGUCUUAACAAUCUCCUAAACUUUAUAUGAUCCGAUUCAAUCUAAACCGUUCAAUAAAGUAAUUCCCUUCAAUCUAAACCGUUCAACAAAAAUAAGUAAAUAACAACCAAAAAAAAUUAAAAACAUUUUAACACAUUCCUCUUAUCACUAAAUAAGUCCAAAAAACAAAUCCCAAUUAUUAUUUCGUU
rnacentral:sRNA from 1 species